rnacentral:lncRNA from 10 species
GGGGAAGCCCUUGCUUUUUUCUUUUCCUUUCUCGCUCUUUCUUCCAGAACAGCCUUUAUACUUAGAAAGCAUAGCUGUAUUCUUAGAGAAUAGCUAAGCAUGUAGGACCACAACCAUCUUGAAGACCAUAAUAGUCGAGGGGCCAUCCCUCUUCCCACCACUCUAGAAGGGUACAGCAGUCACGGUUCUAGUUUGAAGAACUAAGAAGAAUAAGACAUCAGUUUGAAAACAGUCUCUAUCAGAACAAUAUGAAUUCUGCUAAAAUUGAAGCAAGAACCAACAUUACAUCUGUGAUGAAACUUGGGUGGAAUAAUGAUGAUAUAAUUGAUGAUUUAUGAAAAGUGUACAGGGACAAUGCCCCAAAGAAAUCAUCAGUUAACAAAUGGAUAACUCAUUUUAAAAAGGGAGAAGAUUAUAUUGAAGAUGAUCCUGCAGCAGCAGAUCAUACAUAUCGAUUUGUGAGGAAAAAAUUCAUCUUUUUCGUGCCCUGAUUGAAGAGGACCAACGAUUAACAGCAGAAACAAUAGCGAACACCAUAGACAUCUCAGUUGGUUCAACAUACACAAUUCUGACUGAAAAAUUAAAGCUCCCCACACAUCUAAAUAUUUUGUGAGGAGAUACUUUGAAAGGAGCUGGAGGAACUUCAGUAAGCUGAAGACUCUGUUCAGAGGAAAUUACCUAAUUGAAAAUGUCUGGGCUAAGAGACCGACAAUAAAGGAAACUGGCAAAAGUACUCUUUAAUUACAAGUUCUUUUUCAUCUUCAU